AGUGCUCACUCUACUCUUACAACUUUCAUUGGUCUUAUACAAUGAAAUAUUGCUUUUCUCUUCCCACCAAAGGAGAUCUUUUAAUCAACUUUCAAUUCCCUUUAUUAAAGUAGCUAUCAUAGCCAUCUCCAUUUGACUUACCAACUGAAAUAAAAUUCACUCAAAGGUUAUUACACACCUCAUAACCAACAUCACUAUCAAUACAAACAUCAACUUUUCAUCAAGAAAAACAAUGCAAACAUCAAGCGCCUCCAUAACCUUUGAAGUUUCAAUAUUUCCCAUCUUCAUAAAGCCAAUUUUUUGACCUAUGAGAUAUAAACAAAUCCCUAAAUAAAGAAGCAUGAUAGGUGUAUCAUUGUCAACCAUCUAAUCAAAUCCUUAGCAUUUGAGACAUAAAUAAGUUCCAUUGGAAGGAAAGAGUGUAACCAUAUAAUGUCUUCUAAAUACAUGGUAGAUGUUUCCUUGCUUUCAUCUUUAUCUUCCCUUUGUUUUUCCCUCACUUUCUUUUUUUAGCUUCUAAUACAAUCUUUUGAAGUGUCUUACCUCACCUCAA
rnacentral:lncRNA from 1 species